rnacentral:lncRNA from 1 species
UUGUGGAUUUUUACCUUUCUAUUGGUAUAGGUAGGAGGAAUUCUACACUGUCACACUUGCACCACGUCAUCAAUAACAAGCCAAUCACAUUUCUUCUUUUCAAACAAAAGUAUAAUAAAAAUACUUUUUUACAAUCAUGAUGGGACAUAUAUUCUUAAAAGAAUUAAUUUGAUUGGUUUGUUACGCCAUGUCACUAAUAUACCCGUUGCAUUCUAGAAUUUUUCGUAUAGGUAGAGGGGCAAUCCAGCUUUGCAAGUCAAUUCAUGUUCGACUUGAUAUCGAAUCGUCCGUUUAGUAAAUAAAUAAAACAGAGUUGAAUUUAUUUUAUAUAUAUAUAUAUAUUCUUUCUAGUUUUUUUAACUUGUUGUUCAUGAACCAUCUCGUGUUCGACUCGUUAAAUAACAAGCCGAACACAAACAAAAUUUUUCGACUCGAUAUUUUAAUGAGCCAAUUUGAAAUCAACUCGUUUAUAAAGACUUAUUUAUAAAAUGAGCGGAACAC